ACACAACAAGGGCUGAGCAAAGACCGGUGCCAGCCGGCCGCGGUAAUACCGGCAGCCCGAGUGAUGGCCGAUCUUAUUGGGCCUAAAGCGUCCGUAGCUGGCUGCGCAAGUCCGUCGGGAAAUCCACUCGCCCAACGAGUGGGCGUCCGACGGAAACUGCACAGCUUGGGACCGGAAGGCUCGAAGGGUACGUUCGGGGUAGGAGUGAAAUCCCAUAAUCCCGCACGGACCACCGAUGGCGAAAGCACUUCGAGAAAACGGAUCCGACAGUGAGGGACGAAAGCCAGGGUCUCCAACCGGAUUAGAUACCCGGGUAGUCCUGGCCGUAAACAAUGUUCGCUAGGUAUGACACAGACUACGCGUCUCUGUGUGCCGUAGGAAGCCGAGAAGCGAACCGCCUGGAAGUA
rnacentral:rRNA from 1 species